AUUGAACGCUGGCGGCAGGCCUAACACAUGCAAGUCGAACGAGUGGCGGACGGGUGAGUAAUGUCUGGGAAACUGCCCGAUGGAGGGGGAUAAAUACUGGAAACGGUAGCUAAUACCGCAUACCAUCGGAUGUGCCCAGAUGGGAUGAGCUAGUAGGUGGGGUAACGGCUCACCUAGGCGACGAUCCCUAGCUGGUCUGAGAGGAUGACCGGCCACACUGGUACUGAGCCACGUUCCAGACUCCGACGGGUGGCAGCAGUGGGGAAUAUUGCGCAAUGGGCGCAAGCCUGAUGCAGCCAUGCCGCGUAUAUGAAGAAGUCCUUCGGGUUGUAAAAUACUUUCAGCGAGGAGGCGUUACUCGCAGAAGAAGCACCGGCUAACUCCGUGCCAGCAGCCGCGGUAAUAC
rnacentral:rRNA from 1 species